UCCAGACUCCUACGGGAGGCAGCAGUGGGGGAUAUUGCACAAUGGGGGGAACCCUGAUGCAGCGACGCCGCGUGGGUGAAGAAGCGCCUCGGCGCGUAAAGCCCUGUCAGCAGGGAAGAAAAUGACGGUACCUGAAGAAGAAGCCCCGGCUAACUACGUGCCAGCAGCCGCGGUAAUACGUAGGGGGCGAGCGUUGUCCGGAAUCACUGGGCGUAAAGGGCGCGUAGGCGGUAAUAUAAGUCAGAUGUGAAAGGUGGGGGCUCAACCCCUAGAGUGCAACUGAUACUGUAUAACUUGAGUGUGAGAGAGGGAAGCGGAAUUCCUAGUGUAGCGGUGAAAUGCGUAGAUAUUAGGAGGAAUACCAGUGGCGAAGGCGGCCUGCUGGACGAUGACUGACGCUGAGGCUCGAAAGCGUGGGGAGCAAACAGGAUUAGAUACCCGCGUA
rnacentral:rRNA from 1 species